rnacentral:rRNA from 1 species
CCUACGGGCGGCAGCAGUAGGGAAUAUUGCUCAAUGGGGGAAAGCCUGAAGCAGCAACGUCGCGUGGAGGAUGAAUGCUCUAGGAGUGUUAACCCUCUUUUUUAGAGAAGUUAAUGACGGUACCUAACGAUUUAUCACCGUCCAACACCGUGCCAGCAGCCGCGGUAACACGGAGGGUGCAAGCGUUACUCGGAUUAACCGGGCGUAAAGGGCGCGUAUGCGGGUUAGCAAGUCAGUUGUGAAAUCCUAUGGCUUAACCAUAAAAUUGCAUUUGAAACUGUUAUUCUAGAGUAUGGGAGAGGUAGGUGGAAUUCUUGGUGUAGGGGUAAAAUCCUUAGAGAUCAAGAAGAAUACUCAUUGCGAAGGCGGCCUGCUAGAACAUUACUGACGCUGAAGCGCGAAAGCGUGGGUAGCGAACAGGAUUAGAUACCCGAGUAGUC